GACGAACGCUGGCGGCGUGCUUAACACAUGCAAGUCGAACGGAAAGGCCCUGCUUUUGUGGGGUGCUCGAGUGGCGAACGGGUGAGUAACACGUGAGUAACCUGCCCUUGACUUUGGGAUAACUUCAGGAAACUGGGGCUAAUACCGGAUAGGAGCUCCUGCUGCAUGGUGGGGGUUGGAAAGUUUCGGCGGUUGGGGAUGGACUCGCGGCUUAUCAGCUUGUUGGUGGGGUAGUGGCUUACCAAGGCUUUGACGGGUAGCCGGCCUGAGAGGGUGACCGGCCACAUUGGGACUGAGAUACGGCCCAGACUCCUACGGGAGGCAGCAGUGGGGAAGAUUGCACAAUGGGAGGAAGCCUGAUGCAGCAACGCCGCGUGCGGGAUGAAGGCCUUCGGGUUGUAAACCGCUUUCGCCUGUGACGAAGCGUGAGUGACGGUAAUGGGUAAAGAAGCACCGGCUAACUACGUG
rnacentral:rRNA from 1 species